rnacentral:lncRNA from 1 species
CACGUGGAGAAUUCCUAAAAUAUACACCUCUGAACACAAAGCUUAGCCUCCUUUUGAAAAUGGCUGAACCGUCCCCUAAACAGAGGAAAGGGUGGAAUCUCAACACAAGUGGUAGGCAACUUUGAAAACAAUAAAUAGAUGAAGAAUGGAGAGACCUCAAAAGGAGAGUCUGGGAACCCUAGCCAAAGACCCACAUAUGCUACCAUGUGGCCCUCCCUACUCAACCUCAGUAUAUCUUUACUGAAAAACACAUGCCAAAGAACAACACCCAGAGAGCUGGAAACACUGGAAAAGAUUUCGUGAUGCCCCCAACUUUACUUUAUAGGGAAGGCUAUAAUGUGGUAAAAUCGUGGGGACUUAAUUCCAUCAUAUGGAGGUUACUGAAUGUAUCAGAGACAGCCUGCAGUUCAUCACCACACAAAUUAGGAGCAACGUAAGAAGAGAAAAAGAAAAAGGAAUUACAGAUUAAAAAAUGCAAGAGAAUAUAAACAAAUAAAAAUAUGUUCAACUGGAAUUUGUAUUGGGAUUGUAUUAAAUGGAUGAACUAAUUUGUGAAGAAAUGAUAUCAUUCCAUCCAAGA